GGGGAGGCCAUGGCGAGGGCUGCUGCUUCCUUCCUGUCCAGAAAACAGAUCACCGAGGCCUGAGAGCGGCCCGGGGCUGCGCGCCGGAUAAACGCAGGCGGCGUGAAUCAGGCUUCUCCAAGGAGCGGAUAAGAAAGUCACUGAUUCCGCAUUUGUCAAAGAUCUUUCAUUCCGCGGGGCCAGGGAAAUUCCCCAAGGCACCAGCACCGCCUCCAGAGGGCCCAGGGAUCCCAGUACUUCUCCGUGGUAGCUUUCGUCACAAGUGCAACUGAAUAAUGAUGGGCAAGGCUGCUGGCUCAGUCGCUGUCUCCCCUGCUAUGUCGAAAGCACCAAGUAUUCACGGACUCUCUCCCUUGCUGGCUUUGAGGAAGUCAGCUGCUAUGUCAUGAGCAGCUGUAAAAGGACCCCGUGGCCAGGAGCUGAGGGCGGCAUCCAGUCCACAUCCAAGGAAGUAAAUGCUGGAAACAAUCAAGUGCACUUGGGAACGGACUCUUCCUCAGUCGAGCCUCAGAUGAGAACGCAGCCCCAGCAUGGAUUGCAGCCUUCAGAGGACCCAGUAGAGCCAUGUCUAGACUCCUGACCCACAGACAGCUGGCCCCAGGCCAUCACUAGGGGAAGCUCUAUGUGUUUUUAUAUAUAUACACAAACACAAGCAUAUA